rnacentral:lncRNA from 1 species
GACUUUCAGGGUAAACAGGGAUUGAAUACAAAAGAACCGUAGAAAUUUGCACCGACUGGGAUCCACCAAUGGAAACGUCCACCGGGAUUUGAUUUUUAUUACUGGGUAUCUUUGUUUUUUUUUCGUUUUCAAAAGGUACGGCCACAUCCAGACAUCGCAAUGACGAUGAAUGGGAAAAGAAAUCACAACUAGAUGCCAACGGACAAUCUAGGAAACACUCAACGUUCAUCAAGGCCAACGGAGGGGUAAAUCCACAAGGGGACGGGUACAACUAGACGUCAUAGGACGAAUAGGAAGACUCACGUUUAUCGACACCAACGGAGAGGAGGAAAACUCAGCCAGACG